AAUUGUAUAUAUAUCACUCCAAAGCCUGCCACCAUCACUAGAUAUGAAAUCACUGCCAGCAUACCUGUCAUCAUCAUCCUCAUCAAGCACAAGUUGUCUUUGGACAGCCUGAUAUAUGGUCAAAUGUCUAUUUAGUUGUUUCCCACCAGCAGUAAAUAUCAACUUUGGAGGAUCAUUGGAACUACCAAACAGUGGUCGUCCUUGUCGAUCUCUGCUUCCUCUUAUACCUCUGCCAU
rnacentral:misc_RNA from 1 species